AAGUCUGACGUCACAUAGACGGGCGGAGCUUAUACCGAUUUCAUUUAGUGUUUUCCUGGUUUAUGUGAUAAAAUAAGACUUUUCAGUUGAAUUGUUGAAGGAACGUACAAUUUAAGAGGUUUUUAUUAGUUUUUCACUAGAUCCUUUUGUUGUUAGAAAAUAAUGGCUUUUAAACAUGUCCUAAAACUUUCCAGCAUCAGUACUUUUAUAGAUGACACAACAAAAUUAUAAAGGAAGGGCUACACAGCUUUGGAAAUACUGUUGGUUUUACCUGGCUAUUGAAGGAGGAAUCAAUAAAUUUGCUGGAAAAUGGAUUUUCGAUAAUUGAAGAAAUAAUUUCUUCCAAAGACUUUUUGAAAGAUGAUCAUUUGAAGCAGAUUUAUAAUUUAAAUGUUUGCCAACUGGAGUAUGGCUAACAAAAUCAGGACUUCUUGGUGCUAGCCCUGAUGGAAUAAUUGAUGAAGAAGAAGCCAUUGUAGAAGUGAAAUGCCCAUAUUCUUUCAGAAACGAUAAGUUAUCAGAAAAAUUGAGGAAUUUUAAUAAAUAUAUAGUUUUUUAUGACGAUGAGGGUAACUUGAUCUUAAAUACAAGUCACAAUUAUUAUCACCAAAUUCAAGGAGCUAUACAUAUUUUAAAAAAGAAAAAAUGUUACUUAUGUAUUUAUACCUUUAAGGAAACUGUUGUGACAAUUGUAGAAAUUGACGAUUCAUGAAAAGAAAACAUUUCAUUCUUGGAAAAUUUCUAUAUAGAACAAAACUUACCAAAGUUGUUAGACAAUUGAAUAAAAAUUUUUGACAUGUUUUUCAAUGUGAUUUUAGGUUAUUCUACAAUGUUAGCAGAUAGAGUAUACGGUUGGAAAAAUCUUUACUAUUUAUUUUAGACUGUAAAGCCACUUCAUGCAAAUUUUUGUUGUUGAGGAUAUCAGGAAAUUAUAUUUUUUAAUAUAAAUGUACAAUGCCAUUUUGUCAAUAAAGAUUUUUGAAACAAA